rnacentral:tRNA from 1 species
CACCCGCAUGGCCGGCGGCUGGCGCAGCGCCUUGAGCGCGUGGACAAGGCGCCGCGCAUCGUCUGGUUCGACCGCGAGGUGGAUGGC